AAGAUGGCGGCGUUUGCACGGAGUGCAAUCACUGCGUCCUUACGGGGGUUGCAAGGCGUCCGAAGUAUGAGUCCACUAACAAAAGUCCAGAAACUCGCCAGUUAAUAGUAUUGUGUCUCUUCAAAAUAUCGGAGAAUAAUUUCUUUCUCGCUGAUCGCCUAACUUCUACUGACGAAGCUUGGAAGUUGCAGAAGGCUGGAGUGCAAUGGCGCCAUCUCGUCUCACUGCAACUUCCGCCUCCCGGGUUCAAGCGAUUCUCCUGCCUCAGCCUCCCAAGUAGCUGGGAUUACAGAUGGAGUUCGCUCUUGUUGCCCAGGCUGGAAUGCAAUGGCAUGACCUUGGCUCACUGCAACCUCUGCCUCCCCAGUUCAAGUGGUUCUCCUGCCUCAGCCUCCCGAGUAGCUGAGAUUACAGGUACUGGCUCCUGUAUCACCCAGCUCUGGAGUUGAAAGAGCUCUUCAUUCCUGAGUCUCCUGUACCACUGAGAAUAGUUUCUUCAAAGGAAAGAAGCAACUGGAACACACAUAUAACACUAACCCUUCCAGCUGCAUUAUGAGGGACCAGUACCUGUCUCAAGGCAAAAUUAUGACUUAGUUCAUCCUCACCUCUGGAGGCCAGUAAAAGUGGGUUAUAGAAGAACAAAGAGGCAUCUAGAUCUUUCACUGGGUUAUUUGGAGAGAAACAUCUCCUACCGAAGGCCAGUUUAACAAGACUGGUAGAGGAGGUUAUCUUAUCUAAUUCACAGAAAUCAACACAUUGAGUCAAGAAAAAUGAAACACAGAAACACUCUAAAUAAAAGAAGAUAAGUCUUCAGAAACCAACCCUAAUGAAAUGAAGAUAUGUGAUUAACCUGACAGGAAAUUAAAAAGAGCAACCAUAAAGAGUCUCAUGGGAGCAAUGCAUGAACAAACUGAGAAUUUUCAUAAAGAAAUAAAAGAUAACAAAAAGUAUAAAGUUGAAGAAUACAAUAACUGGACUCAAAAAUUUAAUGUGUCCAACAGAAGAAUCGAUGAAGCAGAAGAAAGGGCUAUCAAACUUGUAGAUAGGCCAUUGGAAAUCAUGUAAUGUGAGGAGAAAAAAGAAAAAAGAUUGAAGAUAGU
ensembl:lncRNA JPX JPX transcript, XIST activator